CAUUCACGGAGAGUUUGAUCCUGGCUCAGGACGAACGCUGGCGGCGUGCUUAACACAUGCAAGUCGAACGAUGAAGC
rnacentral:rRNA from 1 species